UGUUGCUGACGGAAAUGGUCGAAUAAAUUCUGAUUUUUAUCUGCUGCAGUUUUAUUUUUUCCCAAACUUCUGACUAUUUGGAAGAAUAGAGUGAAAUUUGUUUUCUUAAAAAAAAGAAAAAGUCCACUCAAGAGAGGAACAUGACAUCAAGCAAAGGCACUGUCUUGACAAGCCCAGAUACUGCCUGACCUACUGAGUUCCUCCUGCUUCACAUUUGUUGCCACCUGUGACCUUGAACCAUAACUGAAAAUGAGAUCAUAAAGUCAGGUGAGUUCUGACUACUGCCAUUGCUGUGUUACCCCACACACAAGUCCUAAAGGAUGCAAGUUGCCUUGGAACAGUGGGACAGUUGGAGAAGAGAUGCAGAAUUUUUUCGCUCAGAGAAUGAUAGGAUUCUGGAACACUCUCUGUAAAAGAUGAUUGAUGUGGACGGAAGCAUCAUGUUAAAACCUUAUUUGGAAGUGUGCUUCAGGAGCAGUAAUCCAUAAGGGUACAGUCUGAGAGCAGGAAUGAAGAAUGAAGUUGGGAAGUACAUUAUCGAUCACCACUGACAUAACAUUGCACCCUGUUGUCUCCCUGCACUACACUUUCUCUGAUUGUAACACUUUGUUACUGUUUUCUCUUCUGCUACUUCAAUGCACUCUUGUAAUGAAUUGAGCUACAUGAAUGAUAUGCAAACACAAGAGAUUUCUCAGAUGCUGGAGGAAGAGUCCCAGCCUGAAUUGUCGACUGUUUAUUCCCCUCCAUAGAUGCUACCUGACUCGCUGAGUUCCUCCAGCAUUUUGUGCAUUUUGAACAGUAUUAAAGACAAGAUAUUUGUUG